ACAUAAACCUCAACUCCACCACUAACUAGCUGGGUUAGCUUUGAUUUUCUUAUUGGAGCAUGUUCUAAAGAUCAUUUGACAUGUUUUUUUCACCAUAGAUACGUCUUGUGCUGCUGGGAGAGCUUACACUAUAGUCUGAACUUCUACAGAGCCUUUUCCUACUGUAAACCUCACUCAAAAAUGACAGCCUUCCAUUUCACAAGAAUCAGAGUCUUGCUAUGUUGCCCACGUGGUAUCAACUCCUGGCCUCAAGUGAUCUUCCUGCCUCAGCUUACCAAAGUGUUGGGAUUACAGAUGUGAGCCACAGUGCCCAGUCUGUGUGUGUUUUUAUAAUUGGAAGUACAUGACAUCUUUUACACAAUAUGCAAAUGCAUAUUGAGGAAGGAGGGAGAGCAACUAUGUCUAAAAGUAAUCACAAUAAGUCUUGACCCAUUAACUGUACAGAUCAAAAUCCACACCAAUUUUAGAUUCAGAGAACACUAUGUCUUUUUAAAAAUCUAUUUAGAAACUACUUACAGUAUUUUUUAGAAAAUGCACAGGAACCCCUGUUAAGAAAUAAAAUAUUCCUUGCAAUA
rnacentral:lncRNA from 10 species